rnacentral:tRNA from 1 species
AUUCAUGUAGCUUAUUUAGAGCGUAAUAUUGAAGAUAUUAAGGAGAACAGAGUUUUGUGAAUA